rnacentral:misc_RNA from 1 species
AAGUCGUAACAAGGUUUCCGUAGGUGAACCUGCGGAAGGAUCAUUACUGAGCCUGGGUGCUUCGGCGCCUAACCUCCAACCCUUUGUUUACCUUACCACUGUUGCCUCGGCGUUUGGGAGCAAUCCCGGCGCCGGUGGCCUUAUAACUAAACCCUUUGUUAAACCCAGUCUUCUGAGAAAUUAUUUAAUAACUUCAAAACUUUCAACAACGGAUCUCUUGGUUCUG